GACGAACGCUGGCGGCGUGCUUAACACAUGCAAGUCGAACGGAAAGGCCCUGCUUUUGUGGGGUGCUCGAGUGGCGAACGGGUGAGUAACACGUGAGUAACCUGCCCUUGACUUUGGGAUAACUUCAGGAAACUGGGGCUAAUACCGGAUAGGAGCUCCUGCUGCAUGGUGGGGGUUGGAAAGUUUCGGCGGUUGGGGAUGGACUCGCGGCUUAUCAGCUUGUUGGUGGGGUAGUGGCUUACCAAGGCUUUGACGGGUAGCCGGCCUGAGAGGGUGACCGGCCACAUUGGGACUGAGAUACGGCCCAGACUCCUACGGGAGGCAGCAGUGGGGAAUAUUGCACAAUGGGCGGAAGCCUGAUGCAGCAACGCCGCGUGCGGGAUGACGGCCUUCGGGUUGUAAACCGCUUUCGCCUGUGACGAAGCGUGAGUGACGGUAAUGGGUAAAGAAGCACCGGCUAACUACGUGCCAGCAGCCGCGGUGAUACGUAGGGUGCGAGCGUUGUCCGGAUUUAUUGGGCGUAAAGGGCUCGUAGGUGGUUGAUCGCGUCGGAAGUGUAAUCUUGGGGCUUAACCCUGAGCGUGCUUUCGAUACGGGUUGACUUGAGGAAAGGUAGGGGAGAAUGGAAUUCCUGGUGGAGCGGUGGAAUGCGCAGAUAUCAGGAGGAACACCAGUGGCGAAGGCGGUUCUCUGGGCCUUUCCUGACGCUGAGGAGCGAAAGCGUGGGGAGCGAACAGGCUUAGAUACCCUGGUAGUCCACGCUGUAAACGGUGGGUACUAGGUGUGGGGUCCAUUCCACGGGUUCCGUGCCGUAGCUAACGCUUUAAGUACCCCGCCUGGGGAGUACGGCCGCAAGGCUAAAACUCAAAGGAAUUGACGGGGCCCCGCACAAGCGGCGGAGCAUGCGGAUUAAUUCGAUGCAACGCGUAGAACCUUACCUGGGUUUGACAUGGAUCGGGAGUGCCCAGAGAUGGGUGUGCCUCUUUUGGGGUCGGUUCACAGGUGGUGCAUGGCUGUCGUCAGCUCGUGUCGUGAGAUGUUGGGUUAAGUCCCGCAACGAGCGCAACCCUUGUUCACUGUUGCCAGCACGUUAUGGUGGGGACUCAGUGGAGACCGCCGGGGUCAACUCGGAGGAAGGUGGGGAUGACGUCAAGUCACCAUGCCCCUUAUGUCCAGGGCUUCACGCAUGCUACAAUGGCUGGUACAGAGAGUGGCGAGCCUGUGAGGGUGAGCGAAUCUCGGAAAGCCGGUCUCAGUUCGGAUUGGGGUCUGCAACUCGACCUCAUGAAGUCGGAGUCGCUAGUAAUCGCAGAUCAGCAACGCUGCGGUGAAUACGUUCCCGGG
rnacentral:rRNA from 1 species